AAAUUGAAGAGUUUGAUCAUGGCUCAGAUUGAACGCUGGCGGCAGGCCUAACACAUGCAAGUCGAGCGGUAGCACAGAGAGCUUGCUCUCGGGUGACGAGCGGCGGACGGGUGAGUAAUGUCUGGGAAACUGCCUGAUGGAGGGGGAUAACUACUGGAAACGGUAGCUAAUACCGCAUAACGUCGCAAGACCAAAGUGGGGGACCUUCGGGCCUCAUGCCAUCAGAUGUGCCCAGAUGGGAUUAGCUAGUAGGUGGGGUAACGGCUCACCUAGGCGACGAUCCCUAGCUGGUCUGAGAGGAUGACCAGCCACACUGGAACUGAGACACGGUCCAGACUCCUACGGGAGGCAGCAGUGGGGAAUAUUGCACAAU
rnacentral:rRNA from 1 species